rnacentral:lncRNA from 1 species
UGAAAUAGUAGAUAUUUUCCUGCAAAGUUCAAAUUUUUAUUUUUAUCUCUAUAAAAGACUCAAAGUUUUCAAAUAUAUUCAUGUUGUUAAUAUAGCUAAUCGUAAAUAAAAUACUUAACUCUCUUUUGUGAAUGAGUUCAAUUGACUUUUUUUACCUUUUGAAGGAUAUUUUUGUAUAAUUUUAAUAGUUGAAACUUUAGAGCGAUAUAGUUUUAAGGGCAAAAAUAUUAUUUCACUUAUUUACCGUUAAAAAAUAAAUAUGCUUAAACAAUAACAAAUCAGAUAGGCAAAUAUCAAUGUUAUUGAACUUUUGUAGAGAUAAAAGUGAACGGUUGAAUUUUGUAAAGAUAUAUUUGUUAUUGGAGAUGUUUACGGGAAGCUGUAUGCUAUUAACGUUGUUUUUUUUAAUA